rnacentral:lncRNA from 1 species
AAUUGUUGACUCUUGUAUAUCCUCACACGUUGCAUCUUCUGAACUUGUAACGGCAUCCCCACCACCUUGGACUUCUUCUGGCAUUUUGAGUUCAUGUUCCUUUUCUUGAUUUUCCUCUUUGCUCACUAUCUCAUUCUCAUUCAAUUCAGGUUUAGCCUUCUCUGAUCCUGUCACUUCACACACCUCCUUAACCAAUGGGCUUUCAAACUCAUCAUUGACUAUAGCAUCUUCCUCAAUCUUUUCUUCAUUUUCCAUAGUUUCUUUUUUAGGUUCUAUUUCUGUUGAGCUGCAAACAUCAGUAGUAAUGACAUGCAGCAACCCUUGUUGCUCCAUAUUUUCUUUUGUUUCUAUACUAGAUUCGAUUUCUUCAAUGUUUUCCUCUACACUUUCUCUCGUUUCAACAACUUCAGGUUCUUUACCUUCUUCUUGGUAGUUCUUUUCUUGCAAGUCUUCUUCUAAGGCUGCAACCUGUGAGCUUGUUACAUUAUCCUCGCCUUGACCUUCUGUUGACAUGUCAACCUGAUCCUUUUCUUGUUCUUCAUCCUUGAAAGUUUCAAUAGCUUUUACCUCUUGUUCAGAUUCAACCUUUUUUGAGCUAGUCUCAUCGCAUACCUCCUUGGUAGUCUCUUCAUAAACCUCCUUCAUAGACUCUUCAUUCUUUUGUUCAGUUUCCGUGGUCUCUUCUUGAGAUUCUGUUUGUGCUGAUAUGCAAGCUACCUCUUGAGCAUCACUUGGUUUUUCCUCUGUUUCUUCCAUAAGGAUCUCUUUAGGCAUUAAACCUAUCGCUUGUCCCUCCUCUAAAUAGGCCACUGUAGUGUCCUGUUGACCAACUGUUGUUUCUUUUAUAUCCUCACACGUUGCAUCUUUUGAACUUGUAGUUGUAACAUCAUCCCCUAAACCUUUUCCUGACACAUAAACCUCUUGUUCCUUUUCUUCAUCUUCAACUUUGUUCACUAUUUCUUUCUCAUUUGUUGUUUCUUUUACCUCUUCGCUAUAUUCAACUUUCUCUGAACUGGUCUCUUCACAUACUUCAUUGACUGGGGAGCUGUCAACAUUUUCCUUUUGACCAUUAUCACUCUGAAUAGGCUCGUCACUUUUUACUUCAUGUUCUUCACUUUCUACCUGAGAUUUUGUUUGUGAUGUGAUGCAAUCAUCAUGCAACAGUUCUUGCUGCUUGGUUUCAACACUUGGUUUGAUUUCUUUAGUAUCUUCCUCUUGCUCAAUCUCUGAACAAGAUUGAACAGUUUUGUUGUCGCUUUCAUCAGGCUUUUGUUCUGUUUUGUCCUAUUAGAGAAAAAGUAUUCAGUUAGAUAUGAUGAUUUAUAUAAAUAGGCUCAAAGUUUUUAAAAACAAUCUCUGUGGUAGGUUUUUUUCAUUGUUCUUUUUUAAGAUAAUUGUGAGUGACAGUUGUUCUUUAUAACAUUAACAUGAUUCUACAUUGCUUAGUAAUAAAACAUUAAAAGUUUUAGUAGGAAAGAUAUACAAGUAAAACCUUUUGGAUUGUUCAGAGUUAACAUGGGAUGAACACGAAUUACCUCUUGAGCAUCAAUUGCACUCUGAUUCGGCUCCUCGAACUCGAUAUCAGCCACUGGGGUAGCCUUUUGACCAAUUAUUGUUUCUUUUAUAUCCUCGCUGGAUGCAUUCUGUGAGCUUGUAACAUCAUCUCCACCACCUUGGACUUCUUUUGACAUUUUAAUCUCUUGUUCCUUUUCUUGAUUUUCCUCAUUGUUCACUAUUUCAUUCUCAUUCAAUUCAGAUUCAGCCUUCUCUGAGCUUGUUGCUUCACAUACUUCCUUCACCAAGGGGCUUUCAGACUUAUCUGUUUGACCAUCAUCAUUCACCAAUGCCUCUUCAUCAAUCUUUAUAUCAUCUUUUGUUUCGGCACUAGAUUUGAUUUCUUCAGUAUCUUCCUCUAAAUACUCUCUAGGUUUGACAAAUUCGGGUUCCUUACCUUCAUCAUCAUAUUUUGUUUCUGGUAAGUCCUGUAUAGAAGUUGCAUCUUGUGAGAAAGUGACAUCAUCUUUUCCUUGGUCUUCUUCUGAAAUGAUGGACUCUUGUUCUUGUUCUUGUUCUUUUUCUUUUUCUUGAUGUUCAUCUUUGUCAGAAGGUUCUACCCCUUCAAAUUUACCCUUCUCUAAGUGAGUUUCUUCACAUACUUCAGUCACAUCUUCAUCGUCUGUAAUCUUUACCUGCUCCUUUUCAUCUGUUUCCACACUUGGCUUGAUUUCUUCAGCAUUUUCAUUUUUGUUGACACUUUCCUCGGGCUUUUGUUCUAUUUUUUCAUUUGCUCCACUCUCAUCCUGCUCACUUGCCUAUAUGAACACAAGUAUUUUGAGUACAUGUGGAGAAUAAAAGUAACACAUCAUGAUAAGUCUAAUGCAUAGUCAAACUUUUAAAACAAUCUUUGUGGCAGCUUCAAAAAAAUUUGUGAGCCAAAUUUGCUAUAAACUACUUUAUAGAAUGGUUUUCUCUAAACAUUUAUCGUUUUAUGAACUCUAACUCUUCUCAACAAAUGAAACUAAACGUUUGGAUGAGACAAGCAUUUGACAUUAAAAUUAUGUAUGAAAAUCAUAAUAUUGUCUUAUACUUUUAUAAAUUAAACAUAAAACUAGUAAGAAUUAGCCUUAACAUUUAACAAUACAUUAGUAUAAUAUGUGAUUUUUAGUUUCUCUUACACAUGAGAUAAGAAAAUAUGUAGCAGACAACAACAUUUCCAUAUGUCAUAAUGAUUAUAGCAUUUCAAAUUCUAGUAAGACUGAUCUACAAUUAAAACUGUAAAACCUUUUAGGAAUAGUUAGGUUUACUUAGAAUGAACAUGAAUUACCUCUUGCACAUCAGUUGAUUUGUCCUCUGCUUCUUCCUUAAGGAUCUCCUUAGGCGUUGAGUUUAGAGCCUGUUCCUCCUCUAAAUAGGCCACUGUAGUAACAUGCUCACCAGUUGUUGUUUCUUUUAUAUCCUCAAAUGUUGCAUCUUGUGAACUUGUAACAUCAUCCCCUAAACCUUUUCCUGACACAUAAACCUCUUGUUCCUUUUCUUCAUCUUCAACUUUGCUUGCUAUUUCGUUUUCAUUCAGAUCGAUAUUAACACUGUCAGAAAGUUUUAACCCUUCUUCAGAUUCAACCUUCUCUGAGACAGUCUCUUCACAUACUUCCUUCACCAUGGUCUCUGUAUUAGAACUAUCAGAGUAGUUCACCUCUUCUUUAUAUUCAAUUUUCUCUGAACUAGCCUCUUCACAUACUUCAACACUUGGUUUGGUUUCUUCAGUAUCUUUCUCUUGCUCAAUUUCUGAACCAGACUGUACAAUUUUGUUGUCACUUUCUGCAGACUUUUGUUCUUUUUUGUCCUAUUAGAGAAGAAAUAUUCAGUAUAUUAUACGACUGAAAGAAAAGAAAUGAUGAUUUAUAUAAACAGGCUUAAAGUUUUUAAAAACAAUCUUAAGGGUAGGUUUUUUUCAUUGUUAUUCUAUAAAAUAAAUGUGAGCGACAGUUGUACUUUAUAACAUGAAUCUACAUUGGUUAGUGAUAAAAAAAAGCAUUUCAAGUUUUAGUUGGAAUGAUGUACAAGUAAAACCUUUUGGAUUGUUUAGGAGUUAACAUGGUAUGAACAUGAUUUACCUCUUGAACAUCAAUCACACUCUGAUUCUGCUCCUCGAACUCGAUAUUAGCCACUGGGGUAGCCUGUUGACCAAUUGUUGUUUCUUUUAUAUCCUCACUGGAUGCAUUCUGUGAUCUUGUAACAUCAUCUCCACCACCUUGGACUUCUUCUGACAUUUUAAGCUCUUGUUCCUUUUCUUGAUUUUCCUCUUUGCUCACUAUUUCGUUCUCAUUCAAUUCAGAUUCAGCCUUCUCUGAGGUUGUCGCAUCAUAUACUUCCUUCACCAAGGGGCUUUCAGACUUCUUUGUUUGAUCAUCAUCAUUCACUAAUGCCUCUUCAUCAAUCUUUAUAUCAUCUUUUGUAUCAGCACUAGAUUUGAUUUCUUGAGUAUCUUCGUCUAUAUUCUCUCUAGGUUUGACAAAUACAGGUAAGUUCUCUAUAGUGGUUGCAUCUUGUGAGCAUGUGAUAUCAUCUUUUCCUUGGUCUUCUUCUGAAAUGAUGGACUCUUGUUCUUUUUCUUUUUCUUGAUCUUUAUCAUUGUCAGAAGGUUCUACCCCUUCAAAAUUUCCCUUCUCUAAUUGAGUUUCUGCACAUACUUCAAUCACAUCUUCUUCAUAGUCUGUAAUCUUCACUUGUUCCUUUUCAUCUAUUUCCACACUUGGCUUGAUUUCUUCGGUAUCUUCAAUUUUGUUGACAAUUUCCUCGGGAUUUUGUUCUAUUUUUUCGUUUGCUCCACUCUCAUACUGCUCGCUUGCCUACAUGAAAACAAGUAUUUUGAGUACAUGUGGAGAAUGAAAGUAAUACAUCAUGAUAAGUCUAAUGCAUAGUCAAAGUUUUAAAACAAUCUUUGUGGCAGCUUCCAAAAAAAUUGUGAGCCAAAGUUGCUAUAAACUACUUUAUAGAAUGGUUUUCUCUAAACAUUUAUCAUCUUAUGAACACUAACUCUUCUCAACAAAUGAAAUUAAACCUUUGGAGGAGACAAGCAUUUGACAUUAAAACUAUGUAUGAAAAUCAUAAUAUUGUCUUAUAUUUUUAUAGAUUAAACAUAGAACUAAUAAGAACUCUAACUCUUCACUUACUUGUUGCUCCGUUUCAACACUAGGUUUGAUAUCUUCAGUAUCUUCCCCUUGCUCUGUUUCUGAAGAAGACUUUGCACUUUUGUUGACAAUUUCCUCAGGCUUUUGCUCACUUUUUUCCUCUGCCUCAUUAUCGCACUUCUUGCUUGCCU